CGAAAGCGAAGAACUUGCGCGCCCCUCUCGCAUACAAGAUCCUCUUGCAACCUGUAUAGACAGUUUUGGCUAUGUCAGUUAGUAGUCCAGAGUGUGGAGGGCAAGAAACUUGUACCUGUUAGGUGAUGGAUCAGCCAAAAUUUCUGCACUCAAUUCUAUCAAGGCCUCUUCCCAUCCAAGUGCAAUUGGUUGGUCAUCAGCAAAAGGAUAACUUCAUGAUCACAACACCUUAUUUGAGUUCAAUUUCAAUGAUUUACACGGGAAGGGCAAGGGCAACCAAGGUUGUGUUUUGAUUUGGUAGCAAUCUUAGCAGCAAAGCUCAUGGAUAGUUGGAAGUUCUCUUUCUUUGCUAUCUGAAUGAGAGUCUCCACAACCUGAAAAUUAGAGGUGAAUUGGGAGAGAAUUACGGUUUUCAAUUAUAUGCAUUCAAGCAUUGUGUUCAAUCUAAAAUCAACUUGAUACUUACUUCAUGUUUCGAAGGCGUGUCGACACUGACAACUUUGCAGCGGUUCUUCACUGAUUCUAUAAUGUCUAUAUCAUCUUUGCAGCAAAGUAUGAGUUUAAAAGCAUCUGAGUAACAGUCCAUAAUCCAUUUUAUCAAGUACUGGAUACUCUCUCCAGCUUGGUCAACUUCAUAAAGAAGUAUUGCUGAAAUUAAGAUGGAAACUGUUUAGUUAUAGGUGGAAGGAUAUGUUAUUUAAAGUAAUUUAUGCACAUACUGAGAAUUCAGACCUUUAUAAUCAGUCUUGAAAUUUAUACUGCUGACUUCAGGGAUGGUUUCAUAGUUAUUUCUCA